GAUGAACGCUGACAGAAUGCUUAACACAUGCAAGUCUACUUGAUCCUUCGGGUGAUGGUGGCGGACGGGUGAGUAACGCGUAAAGAACUUGCCCUGCAGUCUGGGACAACAUUUGGAAACGAAUGCUAAUACCGGAUAUUAUGUGAGUUUCGCAUGAAAUUCAUAUGAAAGCUAUAUGCGCUGCAGGAGAGCUUUGCGUCCUAUUAGCUAGUUGGUGAGGUAACGGCUCACCAAGACGAUGAUGGGUAGCCGGCCUGAGAGGGUGAACGGCCACAAGGGGACUGAGACACGGCCCUUACUCCUACGGGAGGCAGCAGUGGGGAAUAUUGGACAAUGGACCAAAAGUCUGAUCCAGCAAUUCUGUGUGCACGAUGAAGUUUUUCGGAAUGUAAAGUGCUUUCAGUUGGGACGAAGUAAGUGACGGUACCAACAGAAGAAGCGACGGCUAAAUACGUGCCAGCAGCCGCGGUAAUACGUAUGUCGCAAGCGUUAUCCGGAUUUAUUGGGCGUAAAGCGCGUCUAGGCGGUUUGGUAAGUCUGAUGUGAAAAUGCGGGGCUCAACUCCGUAUUGCGUUGGAAACUGCCAAACUAGAGUACUGGAGAGGUGGGCGGAACUACAAGUGUAGAGGUGAAAUUCGUAGAUAUUUGUAGGAAUGCCGAUGGGGAAGCCAGCCCACUGGACAGAUACUGACGCUAAAGCGCGAAAGCGUGGGUAGCAAACAGG
rnacentral:rRNA from 1 species